UACGGAAGGCAGCAGGGGGAAUAUUGCACAAUGGGCGCAAGCCUGAUGCAGCCAUGCCGCGUGUAUGAAGAAGGCCUUCGGGUUGUAAAGUACUUUCAGUCGUGAGGAGGUGUUAAGGUUAAUAACCUUAGCAAUUGACGUUAGCGACAGAAGAAGCACCGGCUAACUCCGUGCCAGCAGCCGCGGUAAUACGGAGGGUGCGAGCGUUAAUCGGAAUUACUGGGCGUAAAGGGCACGCAGGCGGUUAAUUAAGUUGGAUGUGAAAUCCCCGGGCUUAACCUGGGAAUGGCAUUCAAGACUGGUUAGCUAGAGUCUUGUAGAGGGGGUAGAAUUCCAUGUGUAGCGGUGAAAUGCGUAGAGAUGUGGAGGAAUACCGGUGGCGAAGGCGGCCCCUGGACAAAGACUGACGCUCAUGUGCGAAAGCGUGGGGAGCAAACAGGGAUUAGAUACC
rnacentral:rRNA from 1 species